UUAAUAAUUUCUGAUUUCCUACGUACCUGGAUCUCGGAAUCCAAGUUUGUUUAGUUCAAAAUUGAUAAAUUUGGUAUGUUUUGCAAUCCAUUUAUACUCGGGUGCUCGAGUUGAAUCCUUUUGAAAGUUUGGUGAUAUUGACCGUUAAGAAUUACUUACGAGAUUUUUUUGGGUCGACUCCAAUUAUUUUUAAUCCGCUACGUACCCCGGGUCUCGUGAUCAAAGUCUGU
rnacentral:lncRNA from 1 species